AUUGAACGCUGGCGGCAGGCCUAACACAUGCAAGUCGAGCGGAGCGGCGAACGGGUGGGUAAUGCCUAGGAAUCUGCCUGGUAGUGGGGGUUACCGUCCGGAAACGGGCGCUAAUACCGCAUAAUAUCAGAUGAGCCUCGGUCGUGUUGGCUAGUUGGUGGGGUAAAGGCCUACCAAGGCGACGAUCCGUAACUGGUCUGGGAGGAUGAUCAGUCACAGUGAAAUGGGGACACGGGACAGACUCUUAGUGGAGGCAGCAGUGGGGAGGAUGGGAUAAUGGGCGAGAGCCGGAUCCAGCCAGGCGGGUCGUGUGAAGAAGGACUUCGGAUUGUAAAGCAAUUUGAGUUUGGAGGCGUUGCCAACAGAAUAAGCACCGGCUAACUUCGUGCCAGCGGCCGGGGUAAAC
rnacentral:rRNA from 1 species